AAAGAGCUUAUCUAAGUUUACUUCCUGGAUCAUGCUGAAUUCAGAUUUCUACUCGGAUUUUGCAAAUUUUUAGUAUAUAGAUACAAUGACAGUCAGAGAUUUUAUGCUAAAUGGGCAUACAUGCUUGGAUGUGUCCCUUCAUACCAAGUCCACGUUUAAAAUUUGCUGAAUAGCGACAUUGUUUGGGAAAAAUACUCUGGCAGAAAUGAGUCUAAACUGUGGAUAGACAUCAGAGUCUGACAUCUGUUUGUUUAUUUCCAUAAGUGAAGUUUGUAUCAACUGACUGAAGGAUCUGUGUUAAAAGAUAACACUACAAUGAAAACAGCUGUGAGUUGUUCCUUUUGAAAAUGCCUGCUUGAUGAUAGUUUCAAACAACUAUGAAGUGAGUGGGUGUUCUAGAGAGACUAAUUCUUCAAAGAAUGAAUGAUCGUCAUCAUCCUUACAUUGGAAUAAAAGGAAGGAAAGUAUCUACAUUUUAUUUAUAGUUUGUCUUAGUGUCUGAUCAGGUC
rnacentral:lncRNA from 1 species